UACAGAGGGGGCAAGCGUUGUUCGGAAUUACUGGGCGUAAAGGGCGCGUAGGUGGUUUGAUAAAGGUGUGGUGAAAGUCCGGGGCUCAACCCCGGAUCUGCCGUGCCGACUGUCAAACUCGAGGGCUGUAGAGGCAGACGGAAUUCCGGGUGUAGCGGUGGAAUGCGUAGAGAUCCGGAGGAAGACCGGUGGCGAAGGCGGUCUGCUGGGCAGUUUCUGACACUGAGGCGCGACAGCGUGGGGAGCAAACAGG
rnacentral:rRNA from 1 species